GGGCCCACACGCGGGUUGCAAUGGUAGUGACAAUGAGUUCCAAACUCGAAAGAGAGUGGCAAUCUNUAAACGCUACCCACAGUUAUGACUGAGGGCUGUAACUCGCCCUCACGAAUAUGGAAUCCCUAGUAACCGCGUGUCAUUACCGCGCGGUGAAUACGUCCCUGCUCCUUGCACACACCGCCCGUCGUUUCAUCGAAGUUUGCUUUUAGCGAGGUGAUGUUUAAUUGGCAUUAUCGAACUUGAGGUAAGCGACGAGGGAAAAGUCGUAACAAGGUA
rnacentral:rRNA from 1 species